rnacentral:rRNA from 1 species
AAAACUACGGUCCCACGUUCAGAUUGCAGGCUGCAACUCGCCUCGCAUGAAGUUGGAAUCGCUAGUAAUCGCGAAUCAGAAUGUCGCGGUGAAUACGUUCCCGGGCCUUGUACACACCGCCCGUCACACCAUGAGAGCCGAUAACACCCGAAGCCUGUGAGCUAACCGUAAGGGGGCAGCAGUCGAAGGUGGGGUUGGUGAUUGGGGUGAAGUCGUAACAAGGUAAC